GUGGAAUUAUCGGGUAUUGAGAAUAUAAAAAGCGACCACACCAGCCACACAAUCAUCAACGCAUUCCAGACAAAUCUCAACGAAAUGGAUGGAAAGAUUGUUUUUGCUCUUCUUCUCUUGAUGUCUCUUCAAGCCUCCGUGGUCUUCGGACAUUGGAAUGAACGCAAAGGUGCCGAGCCGGAGUUUCCACCUGUACUGGGCAUGGAUUCAUACUACAAUAAGGAUGCAAAUGACGGAUGGUGGAAGAAUGCAGAAGAUAUAUGGGUUUGGAAACAAUAAGAGUCAACUUCCAGUGAACUUAUCAUUGGAUGAAAUAUUGACUCAAUAAACGGAU